ACUAUAUCACGUUCAAACACCGGUUCUUGUACAAUCACCGAAGUUAAGCAAUGUCUAGCCUGGUUAGUACCUAGGUGGGCGACCGCUUGGGAAUUCCAGGUGAUGUAAG